GACAUGGUAGCUGAGUGGGUAAAGCGCUUAUAGUAAUUAGUCGGUAUUGAAUAUCGAUGGUUCGAAUCCAUCCCGGAGCAAGUUA
rnacentral:tRNA from 1 species